rnacentral:rRNA from 1 species
CCCUUAGAUGUUCUGGGCCGCACGCGCGCUACACUGAUGCAUUCAACGAGUUUCUUCCUGGUCCGAGAGGAAUGGGUAACCUUUUGAAAGUGCAUCGUGAUAGGGAUAGACUAUUGCAAUUAUUGGUCUUCAACGAGGAAUUCCUAGUAGACGUAGUUCAUCAGACUGCAUCGAUUACGUCCCUGCCCUUUGUACACACCGCCCGUCGCUCCUACCGAUUGAAUGCUCAGGUGAGCCAUUCGGACUUUCAUCAUGCUGGUUUCCAGUUUUGAUGAAGGAAAGUCUUGCGAACCUUAUCAUUUAGAGGAAGGAGUAGUCGUAACA